rnacentral:lncRNA from 1 species
CCCACCCACAUCUCCCACUCCAUUGUCCUCUUAAGGAACAACUCCCCUUUUACCCACCAACUGCUCCACUCAUCAUCAGGAUGAACUCAUUCAAGUUGAGGCACUUGAGUCAGAACCAGGAAACUUGGAAGAGGAACAAAUGGAAGAUACUCUUUUCUGAAUACUCUAGGAUUCCAAGAACUUCAUUGACCAUGUGGCAAAGGAAAAGAUACAAAUGCUGGAGUUACCUAGGUUUGAAUUUAACAAUUUGCUCUGCUACCAACUAUUUUGGGAUAUUAGUUGCUUGUCCUACAAAAUAGGAAUAGUAAUUGCAACCCCAUGGACUGUAGCCUACCAGGCUCCUCCAUCCAUGGGAUUUUCCAGGCAAGAAUACUGGAGUGGGUUGCCAUUUCCUUCUCUAGGGGAUCUUCCUGACACAGAGAUUGAACCCAGAUCUCCCACAUUGUAGGCAGACACUUUACCAUCUGAGCCACUAGGGAAGUCCAGGAAUAAAUAGUAAUAUCUACUCUAAAAGAGUCAUAUCAAUGUAUGGCAAAACCAAUACAAUAUUGUAAAGUAAUUAGCCUCCAAAAAAAUAAUAAAUAAAUAAAAAUUUAAAAAUAAGAGAGUUCUUAUAAGAAGAAAUAAUAUUUAUAAAAUUCAUGGGACAAAAGCUGGUUCAAUAUAGGUUUGGAAUGUUGAGUUCCCUUCUUUUUUCUUUUUUGUCUUAUGCUUUGGGAAUCGAGGUGGGUGGGAGGGGGGGUCAAUGGAUGGUCACAUCUCACACUGCUUCUGGACUGAUGGCACUGAUAUCAGCCAUGACCGGUCACCUAGGAUUCCAGUGAGAGAAGUCAUCUUUUUCCCUCUCAGCCUGCUGUUCAGCCUGACAAUAAACAGGCUGGAAACAGCCUUAUUAAGGAAACUCUGCUUCUUCCUCAUCCAGCAGGAUCCUAGCAUUGCUUCUUAUUGCUCAAGAUUUUAGUUCAGAACUUUUCUUUCUGAGGUCAGAAAUGAAGAAGCUGAGAUUGCUAAGCUGGGUGGGAAACCAAGAGAUUCAAGAAUGCAGGCCAGAAGACAAAAGGAUCAUAGUACCAGAGUGAGUUCAUCUCCAACUCAAGAGCUGGAAUGGAAGGCAGGAGACAGAGGCUUUGAGGAGAGGACGACCCCCAGGAAGAGUAGAAGAUCCCAUACAAUACAGUGCAGGUGACAUCAGGUCCUCAAGCAAUCCUGAUUAGGCAGGAUUGUUGGGGUUCAUCACGUCCAUCUUUGCUUCCUUGUGGACUUACUACCAGAAACACCUUCGGUAGAUGCUGUGCUCUGAGAUCAAUCUGCUGAGUUCCUGUGGUAGUUGAGAGGAAGAAUAGCUCAGACAAUUCACAAAGAGAGAUGCUUGUCUCUUUGGCACUGGCCUCCUAAAGCCAUGACACCCUCCUGAGGGAGCUCUAGGUGAUGCAGGCAGGGAAAACUGAUGACCAACCCAAGUCAAACUAUGGCAGCCAAAUUGGGCAUGUCAAUUGUGUCCAAAAAAGUUAGAUGUGGGAGAGACCAUUUCCAAAUCUUUGGGUACAUGUAGACCAUUAUGUGAGUGACCAAACAGGAGGCUGACUAGGAUCUGAGGCCAGCAGGUUGUGGGGGAUGAGGGUCAGCAGAAGAGGCAGGAGAGGGCUGGUUCACACCUUCUCACAAGCUUCACUUCUCACAGCAGGUUCAUUAGAGAACGUGUGUGUGUAUUGGGGAGGGGGUAACACACUGCACUUCCAUUCUAAUGACUGCCACACUAGACAGGAAUGCCCUGAAGCUGCUUUUCUAAGGACUCAAAUCCCAACCUAGGUGCUUGAAGGGCCAGAAACUGUACACAUUCUACCCACUCCACAGGAGGUGGAUUUGAGGUCCACGAGCUGAAGCUGAGGUUAGUUAGUACUAGUGAUCAGGAACAAGGGCUGGACCACUGUAUAAAGUGCACUGGCUAUCCCCCCAUCACACAUACCAACAAAUAGAUACACACACAAGUACAUUGCCCGACAUACAACUUUUGCCCUACAUAAGGGGCAAAGGAAACCUCAGGCCAGUCUUUUAUAAGCUCCCACCUACCCAUGCUGCCUCCACAGAUGCCCAACUCAGCACCCAGCACCAAAGCCUAACCUUGUCCUCUGUAGUCUGGUCAACUGUCUCCACGCCUGGGCUUGAGUGCUGAGAAAGAUACACAUCAACCGCACAGCAGAGGCUGUGGGGAUUAUCAUGUGCAGGAAGGUCCUCUUUGAGAAGUUUCAGGAGAAGAGGGGCUAGGCGCUGGGUCAGUGAUGGAAGAAGAGCUCUCAUCCUGCAGGGUGAGGAUCUUGAGUGGGAAGACAGCUGGGGAAGUCGACACAGGUUGUGAGAAGGCCACAUGCGCACAGGGACUUAAGGGCGGGAGGGUCACGGGGCAGCUGGAGCUGGACCAGAGCUGGGAGACGCAGAUGUCUUCAGGAAUCAAGCGCCGAGUGGAGGUGUCCUAGUAGUUCCGAUUCUUCUGCUUUCUCCAAUUAAAGUAUCUUCAUGGCCUCCCUUUCUGGCUUGCAGACCUCACUGUAGACAGUACUAGACGCCUUUUCUUCUAAAUGUUG